rnacentral:rRNA from 1 species
AUUGAACGCUGGCGGCAGGCCUAACACAUGCAAGUCGAGCGGAUGAAGGGAGCUUGCUCCUGGAUUCAGCUGCGGACGGGUGAGUAAUUCCUAGGAAUCUGCCUGGUAGUUGGGGAUAACGUCCGGAAACGGGCGCUAAUACCGCAUACGUCCUGAUGGAGAACGUGGGGGAUCUUCGGACCUCACGCUAUCAGAUGAGCCUAGGUCGGAUUAGCUAGUUGGUGGGGUAAAGGCCUACCAAGGCGACGAUCCGUAACUGGUCUGAGAGGAUGAUCAGUCACACUGGAACUGGGACACGGUCCAGACUCCUACGGGAGGCAGCAGUGGGGAAUAUUGGACAAUGGGCGAAAGCCUGAUCCAGCCAUGCCGCGUGUGUGAAGAAGGUCUUCGGAUUGUAAAGCACUUUAAGUGGGGAGGAAGAGCAGUAAGUUAAUACCUUGCUGUUUUGACGUUACCAAAAGAAUAAGCACCGGCUAACUUCGUG